rnacentral:rRNA from 1 species
UGGGGAAUUUUGGACAAUGGGGGAAACCCUGAUCCAGCCAUCCCGCGUGUGCGAUGAAGGCCUUCGGGUUGUAAAGCACUUUUGGCAGGAAAGAAACGUCAUGGGUUAAUACCCCGUGAAACUGACGGUACCUGCAGAAUAAGCACCGGCUAACUACGUGCCAGCAGCCGCGGUAAUACGUCGGGUGCAAGCGUUAAUCGGAAUUACUGGGCGUAAAGCGUGCGCAGGCGGUUCGGAAAGAAAGAUGUGAAAUCCCAGAGCUCAACUUUGGAACUGCAUUUUUAACUACCGGGCUAGAGUGUGUCAGAGGGAGGUGGAAUUCCGCGUGUCGCAGUGAAAUGCGUAGAUAUGCGGAGGAACACCGAUGGCGAAGGCAGCCUCCUGGGAUAACACUGACGCUCAUGCACGAAAGCGUGGGGAGCAAACAGG